GCAUGUAUGGCUGAGUGGUUAAAGCGGCGGACUCAUAAUCUGCUUCCGAAAGGAGACACAGGUUCGAAUCCUGUUGCAUGCA
rnacentral:tRNA from 1 species